rnacentral:rRNA from 1 species
CCACCUUUGACAUGUACGGAAGUUACCAGAGAUGGUUUCGUGCUCGAAAGAGAACCGUAACACAGGUGCUGCAUGGCUGUCGUCAGCUCGUGUCGUGAGAUGUUGGGUUAAGUCCCGCAACGAGCGCAACCCUUGUCAUUAGUUGCUACAUUUAGUUGGGCACUCUAAUGAGACUGCCGGUGACAAACCGGAGGAAGGUGGGGAUGACGUCAAGUCCUCAUGGCCCUUAUAGGUGGGGCUACACACGUCAUACAAUGGCUGGUACAAAGGGUUGCCAACCCGCGAGGGGGAGCUAAUCCCAUAAAGCCAGUCGUAGUCCGGAUCGUAGUCUGCAACUCGACUGCGUGAAGUCGGAAUCGCUAGUAAUCGUGGAUCAGAAUGUCACGGUGAAUACGUUCCC